rnacentral:tRNA from 1 species
CAGAGAAUAGUUUAAAGAAAAUAUUAGUUUUGGGAAUUAAAGAUAAAAGAAAGUUUUUUCUCUGA